CUGCAGUUAGGUAAGCCGACACACACCUCCCUCAUGGGGGCUUAGUGUGCAGUGGCUGCAAAACAGAUUCCCUGGUUGUAUACGCAGCUCAUUCCUUUUAUGUGUUGUUCUAAGGGACCUUGGGGACAUCU
ensembl:snoRNA SNORA70 Small nucleolar RNA SNORA70